UACGUAGGGUGCGAGGCGUUGUCCGGAAUUAUUGGGCGUAAAGAGCUUGUAGGCGGUUUGUCGCGUCUGCCGGUGAAAAUCCGGGGCUCAACCCCGGACUUGCGGUGGGUACGGGCGACUAGAGUGUGGUAGGGGAGACGUGGAAUUCCUGGUGUAGCGGUGGAAUGCGCAGAUAUCAGGAGGAACACCGAUGGCGAAGGCAGACUCUGGGCCGUAACUGACGCUGGAGGAGCGGAAAGCAUGGGGAGCGAACAGG
rnacentral:rRNA from 1 species